UACGGAGGGUGCGAGCGUUGUCCGGAAUCAUUGGGCGUAAAGGGCGCGUAGGUGGCCCGGUCAGUUCGUGGUGAAAGCGCGGGGCUCAACCCUGCGUCGGCCAUGAAUACUGCCGCGGCUGGAGCACUGUAGAGGCAGGCGGAAUUCCGGGUGUAGCGGUGGAAUGCGUAGAGAUCCGGAAGAACACCGGUGGCGAAGGCGGCCUGCUGGGCAGUUGCUGACACUGAGGCGCGACAGCGGUGGGGAGCAAACAGG
rnacentral:rRNA from 1 species